GCAAAUAGCUCAGUGGUAGAGCAUCUGCUUUGAAUGACAAAGGUCCCAGGUUCAAGCCCAGGGAUCUCCA